CAGAUCGAGGGUUGCAACUCACCCUCGUGACGCUGGAAUUCGUAGUAAUCGUGUGUUAUCAGCAGACGGUGAAUAUGUCAAUGCUCCUUGCACUCACCGCCCGUCAAACCAACCGAGUUUAGCUUUGGUGAGACCCGUCAGGGACGAGCCUUGGUUAGACAAGGUAGGUUAAGUCGUCACAAGGUAUCCGUAGGGGAACCUGCGGAUGGAUCACCUCCU
rnacentral:rRNA from 1 species